UACAGAGGUGGCAAGCGUUGUUCGGAAUCAUUGGGCGUAAAGCGCGUGUAGGCGGCCCGGUAAGUCCGUUGUGAAAGUCAAAGGCUCAACCUUUGAACGCCGAUGGAUACUGCCGGGCUAGAGUCCGGAAGAGGCGAGUGGAAUUCCUGGUGUAGCGGUGGAAUGCGCAGAUAUCAGGAGGAACACCAAUAGCGAAGGCAGCUUGCUACACAGUUAUUGACACUGAGGCACGAAAGCGUGGGGAGCAAACAGG
rnacentral:rRNA from 1 species